UCCGCCUAACAUCCGCUUGGGCAGGUGGGC
rnacentral:piRNA from 1 species